UAAAAGCCCAAGGUAAAAAGAAGAAUGGGCCUGGCAAUAGGGUUGAUUGAACUGGCUGAAGGACACCGUGAGGAAAUCAAGGAAAAUAAAUUUAUUUAUUUAUUUCUAAGGAAAAUACAGGACGGAAAGACCUCAGGACGGAAGGUUCUUAGGUCGGUAGGUCCUCAGGACGGAAAGACCUCAGGUCGGAAGGUCCGCAAGACGGAAAGACCUCAAGUCGGAAGGUCUUCAGGUCGGGAGGUCCGCAAGACGGAAAGACCUCAAGUCGGAAGGUCUUCAGGUCGGGAGGUCCGCAAGAUGGAAAGACCUCAAGUCGGAAGGUCUUCAGGUCGGGAGGUCCGCAAGACGGAAAGACCUCAAGUCGGAAGGUCUUCAGGUCGGGAGGUCCGCAAGACGGAAAGACGAUGAGUCGGAAGGUUUUCAAGUCGGGAGGUCCUCGAGACGGAAAGUCGUCGAGAUGGGAUAUCCGCAGGUCGGGUAAACUGUAGGUCGGAUAGAAGGAGGAGUCGGACAAACGCGGAGGCCUUUGAUCAAAGACAGGGGGCGGUUGAUAUGGAGGUCGGCCCAAGUGGGGUCGGGCGAAGAAGUAGGUCGGACGAAGGACGAAGUCGGGCCAAAAGAGCGGAAGGUCUGUGGUCGGCUCAAGGAGUGAAAUAUAGGGAAUUUUGGUCUGCUGGGGACACGUGUCAGCAUGAGAAAGGUUGGAAGACGGUUGAGAAGGAGAUGUUGUAACCGUUCGGGUGACGGUUUUCAGUACGGUUUCCCAGGGAAUAUUUAAGGAUUUGGAUCAUCAUUUGGCAAGGUAUCUUCAAUCAACUUCAACAAAGCAAAGUCAGAUUUGGGGAUCACCACUUUAAAUUUCAGUCUUUUAUUUUCCAGUUUAU